rnacentral:lncRNA from 1 species
ACCCGGAUUUAGAUGAAUGUUAGAUACUAACAUUUGUCUAUCACGAGGUUAUACCAACGUCUGACUAUGUAUUAGGAUGACAUUAACGCUCUUCAUACUUAAAUGAAGGCGCUGCCGCUUCUAGAAAGCAGUUCAGUCACUCAACUGAUGGAUCCGAGAUUGGCGGAUAAAGAAGAUGAUUUGAAGGUGGUUCAUUGUAUGGCUCGGGCGGCUUUGUUUUGUCUGAAAAAUGAUUCCGGUCGCAGUAUUUCCAUAAGCGAGGUAAGGUUUUUUUUUCAUAAUCACGUUCUUGCUUGCAAUAAUAAUACCAGUUGGAACUCCCCAGAUUUUAAGAGUUUCCUGCAAAUUUUUGCAGGUCUUAGCUGUGGUUCGAGGCGAUCAGCAUGCAGUACUUCAGCUUUGAAUCGGUCCAACAGCCGUAUUCAUGGAAAAAAAAAGAAAAGAAAAGAGAACGCUUGCUUGUAAAAGAAGAAUAUUGUUGAAGGAAUAAAGAGAAGCACUUACAUAUACUAUAAAGCAGCUUGUUUGAAAGUGAAAAUUAUGAAGGUUGCGGCGUUAUUAAUAUCACUUCUUAAAAAUGAUUGCAUGAACGGAAACCAACCCGAAAACUUGUCUCUCCUAUCGAAAAAACUCUGGGUUGUUCUCCAUUCAGAGCUUCGACUUUACAAAGCAUCGGUUUCCUGGUGAAAAUUUACUGAAAUCAGCUGAGGGAAGUGAAUCCUGUCCACCUUCACUUCACAAGAUACUAUCUAAUGGUUUGUUGAGUGAAGCUCAAGAAAAGAGGUUGAAACAUGCUUUUUACAUGGACGAAAGGUCUUCCCUACAAACACAAACAGAUCCUAAAAGCAUUGAUAUUUUGAUAUUGAAAUGUCUUGGAAAACGAAAAACUUGGAACACAAGAAAGAAGAAACGUUAACACAAAGGAAUUGGAUUUUGGAAAAUCAGAAUUAUCAUUACCUGCAACCAGAUUAUUUGAUUGGAAUUCUUCUAUUCAAUGUAAACUGCUCCAUUGAAUGCUGACCCAUCCGUGAUCUAACGUUUAGGCUGUGACCCUUUCGACAUUAUAUGUUGCUUGGAUAAUAUCUCUGCAGUGAGUUGGCGUCCAAGUAACUCAGAGUUCUUAAGAAUCAGGUUUCUUGUCGUUGAAUCAACAGCAUAUCCUUGUCCUGGCAUCCACUGCAGCAACUGCAAGAGCAAUUCCCUUUUUUCGGGCUGAGCAAUAUAACGGGAUACAGCAGUCUGAAAGAGUCCCUGUGUAAAACCGAAUAAAUCGAAUGAUUUGAUCAUAUUAUGAAUUAUAACACACAGCCAAACCUGUAUCAAAAUCAAGAGAUAUUGCUCCAAUUCCAUGGAAGUAGGACUGGGUCUAAUUGUGUUCAAAAACCUAUGUUGCUCGGACUCUUCAUUAUUCAUGAAGUACCCAUGUCCGACACUGGUGUUUGAAACACCGAUACAAGGAUAUGACCUUCAAAUACACGAAAAAACUUAGAAAAACCAACCAUACCUGUAUACAACAAACACCCGAGUCCGAGUAACCUAAGCAGAAACUAUUACCUAUGUUUUAACUUGACCAUCUUUUCUAUGGCAAUAAAAACUAAAAAUAAUGCCACUACAAUACUGAUGUAUCCAUGCUGAGGAUCUCCAGGGUAUAGCUUUCAUGGACUGGAGAUAUUUAAUCCAGCAGAUGGAUUAUAACAUUAAUAUGAUCUGUUCAGCUCUAAGUAUACCUACAUACACCAAUCUCAUGAUAAUCAAACGCAGAUGCAGUCCAUGCAUCAGAAUGCAGAAUGGCAGAGACAUGGCAAGUUCAUAGAAAAGUACCUGAUCAGUCUUGUACCCGGAACCAUGAAUAACCUUCAGGACAUCAUUUAUCAAGUUGAUAUUACCGAACUUCAUGAAUGCACUUGCGAACUUCUUUAUAGCAGGCUGAGAGAUGUGUUCUGCAUUAUCCUGAUACGAGAAAUAAUUUGAGAGAAAAAAAUUGAUAGUAAAGAAGGGACUGAUAGUUCUACCAGAUACCUUGACAACUACAUAUGCAUCUUUGAACAGUUUUCCAGCUAUAAGAAUAUGUAGAAUUUUCUCAUGACGGCCUUUACACAUUGUUCUUUUGCUAUAUCUCAACAUAUUGUAAACCGAAAAUGCUUCAGAAUGAGCCUUCAUUUUACCAAGUUGAAAUAUUAAGGAGCAGCAAAGUUCCUGCAAAUAGAAUAGAAUUGUAUGGUUAUAAUGAUUUAACUUAUUUCCAUAAAAGAUGCUGCCUACACUCCAAGCGUAGAACUCCCAUUAAAGUAAAACCAAUAACUUAGGUAUGCUUUCUGGAUAGCUUUUAAUGCGACCCUUGUUAUUAAGUAACAUGUCCACUGCCAAAGCAGCAACUCGAAUAAACUUGAGCAAACAACAUUCACAUAACGACAAGAAACCGCCUUCAGGCAUAUUUGCGGGAAAAAAAAGAGAGUAUAGCUGGAGAUAACAAUUGUAUAGACAAAAAGACUCGUUCCAGUAAUUUGUAUUAUGACAGGCAACCAAGUAUAUAGUCCCGUAACUGGAAGUACAAAACAUUGCUAUGGAAGAUUGGACCAAGUUCUAAGAGUGUUUCAUACGAUGCGCAAAGUGAAGAAAAACUCAUGGGAUUACGUUAGUUAUGCUGAACUGAUGCUGGACUAUGAUAACAACUCAGGAACCCACGCUACCAUUCAUAAUAACAUCUAAAAGUUUGAAAGUCCUGUACCUCCUCCGGAUGAUAUCCUUUACCGUGCAUGUCCUGCAUGAUCUUAUAAGCAAGAAGAUAUAGUUUCUCCUUACAGAAAUACUUUAUUAGGAUAUGAAAAGUGCUAUAAUCCGGACUGAUUGCAAGUUCAUCCAUUUUCUUCAUUGUUUGCAUUACACUCUCCAUAUCGCCUGCUCUACAGUAAGCACAAAGCAUCGUAUUUAACAUAUAACCUGGUCAUACUUGUUAUACUUGGCCUCGAAAUCUUGAGCCAACUUCUUUGCCUCUUCAAAAAGCUCGCUUCAACACAUAGCUGAGAUCAUGAUGCUAUGCAAGUAUCCAUCUGAACGAGACAAAUAAGUUUCAUAUACUUGGAAUUGGAACCAAACCAGGGUAAAAGUACCAUAGAAAAUCCCAUACUAAGAGUUAAAUUGCAUUUUGCUCCCUAUACUCAAAAAAUGAGCAAAUUAGUCCCUGUGCGUUAGAUCGAAGAGCAAAUUGGUUCUUUCUAUUAAAAAUUUCAUCCAUUUUUACUAUUAAAAACUGGCAUAACUGACAGAAUAACUAGACAAUGACACAUGAUAUGCCACAUGUACCUAAUGUUAACAUACAUGGACCAAUUUUUAACAAUAGAAAUGGAUGAAAUUUUUAAUAGAAUGACCAAUUUGCUAUUUGGUCUAACAUAUAGCAGUUAAUUUGCCUAUUUUUUGAGUAAAGAGGGCAAAAUGCAAUCCGAAUCCUAGUACAAGGUCCUCCAUGGUACUUUUACUAAAUAAGGGGAGAUGAAACUUCAAUAUAACAAGGUAAGCUUGCCUUAAAUCAUUAGCCAGUGUUCCUUGAACACUCAGUACUUGUAAACUUACCGGAUUUGACACGUUUUUCAUGCAUUUCAGCAAAAACUGAUCUUGCUUCAUCAAGGCGCCCAGCUUUGGAAAGACCAUCCAUCAAUAAACAGUAAGGCAUCUGCAUAAGUGUGUGCAUAUUACGAGCACUUAGUUACAAAACUAAGCAAGGUUUUCAAUCACAAAAGCAGCCAAUGAAGCUUAAUCAUAUAAAUAAAUGCAUAACUUUUAUCAUUUUUCACAUCUCAUAUUUGGCCAGGCACAAAAUGAGAGGAAAUUAUCGAAGUACCUCAUCUUCAGCAUAACCUAAAGCUUCCAAUUCAGAUAAUAAUUUUCUUGAUUUUUCAAACAAGCCUCCUCGAACAUACACCUUUAACAAAGUAGUCAGUAUAACCCUGAAGAUUUCAAUUCCUCCAUCAACUCAUCGGACUUACGAUAAUUCCCAUCAUAAGAGUAAGCUUUAAGUAAAGAGCUGUAAUGAUAUAAAUUAGGUGAAAGGCCUUCAUCCCUCAUCUGGUUGAAGUGGUUUUGAGCUUCUUCGCUAAGCCCACUCGAAGCACAAACGGCCAAAAGUGUUCCAUACAUCACAUUAUCCAUUUCCAAACCAUUAUAUUUCAACUCCUUCAUCAACUCUAAUGCCUUAUAAUGCCCAUUUUUUAUUCUUAUGCAACCUGCCAGCAACUAAGUAUUGACAAAAACAAAAACAACAAUUAAAGUUUCACAUUCGAAAACAACCAUUAUCUUCUCGGUAAAAGCAGUACUAAAAGUUAGAUUGCAUUUUACCUCUUCUAUUCAAAAAAUGGACAAAUUAGUCUCUAUAUGUUAGAUCAAAGAGUAAAUUGGUCUUUUAUUAAAAAUUUCAUUCAUUUCUACUGCUAAAAAUUGGUCCAUGUAUAUCAGAAUGAGGUAAAUGUGAAAUUUUAACAAAAAAGAGUUGUUUGCUCUUUGAUCUAACAUACUAGGACUAAAUUGCCCAUUUUUUAAUGGAGGGGACAAAAUGCAAUCUGAUUCUUAGUGCAGUGACCUUCAUGGUACUUUUACCUUAAAUUCUAAGUUGCAUUAAGAAACAUACCGUGUUAUACGUAACCAAAUCUGGGGUUAGACCCUCCUGCUUUAUCUUAUCAAACAAUUUGAUGCCACUAUCGAAUUUCCCAUUCCUAACCAAACAGCUAAGAAGAGAGUUCCAUAUAAACACAUUAACUUUGGUUGGUUUAUCAGGAAUACCAUUGUAAAUCGCCAAAGCUUUAACAGGGCUGAGUUUUUUCCCCAUAACUUUCAUAUAAGUGGUAUAAGAUGAACCAUUGGUCUUCCCACGCUGUUGACAGCUGCAAAAAAAUUAUCCAAAACAACAAAGAAUCAAAGUACAUCCAAACAAAAUAUCUACUUUGACAUUAAUGAUACAUAGCAAUAGUAUACAAACAGGGGUGAAACCAAGGGACAGGAAGGCCUUCGGUAAAUGGAAAAUUUGCAUUUUAGGCCCUCCCAAGAAUUAAAAUUUCAAUUUAAGACCCUUUUAACAGAAACAACAAAGAAUCAAAGUUCAUCCAAACAAAAUAUCUACUUUGACAUUAAGGAUACGUAGCAAUAGCAUACAAACAGGGGUGAAACCAAGGGACAGGCAGGCCUUUGGUAAAUGGAAAUUUUGCAUUUUGGCCCUCCCAAGAAUUAAAAUUUCAAUUUAAGACUUUUAACGCAAAAUUCAUGUCUUCCCACUGCAUAAAAAAAUCUGGGUACCAGAGAAAGAUAAUUAAAUUUUUCAUAGAAAAUUACAAACAAGUGAGCUCUAAUAAAAAUUAAUAAUAUAAUUUUUUUUUUUAAAAUUUAGUAAUAUUAAGAUGAAAAAAAUAUUCACAUAAUAUUUAACAUGGAAAAUAUUGAAUUUAACGAUUUAAUUAAAAGCAUGAUCACUUGAAUCAUGGUAAUUUAAAAAACUCAAACGGUUGCAUUUAACUAAUAAAUAAUAUAUGAAAUCGAAUUAUAUUAAAUGCAAUCGUUUGAGUUUUUUAACUACGAUAUAUUCAAUAACGUGCCAUAUUAUAUCACGACAUAUUUUAAAUUAAUGUAACAUCAUUUAAUUAAAACUAUCCUAUAAAAUAAACAAUUUUAAGUUGUUAUAAAAAUAUCAUUUUUGUUUUUUUCUUCUUUAAUAUAAAAAGUCUUUUAUUUUAAAAAUAUAAAAAAUAAAAAAGAUAGAAAAACAUUUAGUCUUUAAACUUUUUUGAUUCACAUUUAGUCGGUUAAAGUGUGACAACAUGGCACUUCAAGAUUGUGCCACAUCAUUACCUUAAAUUUUUUUUUUUGUAUUUUUAAAAUUUAUAUGAAAAAUUUUAAAUUUUCUUGUGAUGAAGAGUACCAUGUCAUCUUACCUUAAUAGAAUACAAAAUUGAGGACCAAAUUGAAAAAAAUUGCCAAGUUAAAAAAUAUUUAAGGACCGAAUUAAGAAAACUUGCCAAGUUUAGAUCUCAAAUAAAAAUACAAUCCAAGUUUUACCACAGGGGCGAAGCCAGAAAUUUCUUUUACGGGGCCGAAAUUAAAUUAUAAUUUUUACAAUAGUAAAAAUACAAUUUCACCAUUUUAAAUAGCAUAUAUCUUUAUAAUUUUUAAAGGAUUAAAUUAAAUUUUUAUCAUUUCUAAAGGAGUCAUUAAUUUAAAAUUUUUAUAAUUACCAUAUAAAAUUCAUAUAGUCUUAAUACACAGCUAUUUUUUGGAUUAUAUGAUACAGCAUGCCAAUGAGAUUGCAACAUUGUUAACAGGCGAUUAUAACUAAAAACUACAAUCUAGUCCGAGUCGCCAUUAAUGGAUAUUUAGUGACCAUCUUUACCCCAAUGUCCAGCUGAAGAGCAUUUCAUUAAUUACUUUCAGAUUGACAAUCACGAAGCUAACAACAACAAAGAUGGUGUCUGAAGCGGAAUCGAUGGCAAGAGAGAGUGUGAUCGUGGUGAUAGAUGGUAAGAGAAGCAAAGGAAUGGUGGAGCCACUUGACUGGGCUCUUAAACACGUCGUUCGCCGGAAAAACAUCGUGAUCGUCGUCGCAAUUUUGGGUGAUAUGGGGAAGAAGAACGCUACUCAAUGCUUUCCUUUGAACAUGAGAUUUAACUUCUCUGGAAUAUGUGAGCUAUUUUAUUUAUUUGUUUAUUUAGUACUCUGUGUUUGAUAAAAAGAGCUUGGCAUCUCUCAUAUCUAGUAUAGGCUGGCAGGUCGAAUUUGGGGUUCGAAAAUAUGGAGAAAAAAAUGGUAUGAAAUAAGGAUAUUAUCUUUUUCUAAUAGUUUUAUAUUACAGUAAUUUCAUCUUGAAUUUUAAGAUUUUUUUUUUGAAUUUGAUUUUUUUAGGAUGAAAAUACUGAAUUUCAAGAUGAAAAUACUAAUGUAACAUACAACUACGGAAAAAGGGAUACAAAUGACGUGACGUUACUGUUUCAUACAAUCUUUUCCGAAAAUACUUGUGAGGUAAAUGUAAAGUUUGGGGGUUGAUAAAAGGUACGUAGGCAAGGGGUGAAGUGAGAAAUUCUUUUAAGGGUCAAAUUUAAAUUAUAAAUUUGUGAAAGUUAAAAUACAAUAAUAAAAGUUUAUAACUUUUUGAGGGAUUAAUUAUAAUCAUUUUAAAGGAAUAGAAAUGAAUUUUAAAUUUUAAGAGGCCAACAUGUAAAUUUAUCAUUAGAUUAACCUAAAAUUUUAUAAUUUUUAAAAGGAAUAAAAAGAAAAAAAUUUAAUUUAGGAGCGAAGGCUCGUGUCUACCCCUAGCUGGAGUUGUCCAUAAGUCUAAAUUUUUGCCCAAACCUGGUCUGAAUAAAAAUACUAAAAUUUGGGCCCAGUUCGGUUGUAUUAAAAAUAUUUUAUUUUAUUUUUAUAUAAAAAAAUUAAAAAAAUAUAAUACAUCAAAUAGACUAAAAACAUUAAAAUAAAUGUUUCCCAACAAAUUAAAAAUAAAUUUAAAAAUAUCUUUAUACUUAAAUAACAUUAAGAUAUGCGCAACUUAACAAGCAAAUGGCUCUAAAAUAGUAGCAAAUUUAACAAUAAAACAUUAGUUAUAUAAUAUCCAGACAAUAACAACAAAAUAAUAACAAUAUAACAAUGAAAUGGUAGCAAAACAGUGCGAAAACAACAACAAAACAUUAGAAUUUUUUUUAUAAAUUCGGAUAAGCCGGGCCAAAAAACCUUAUCUGAGACCCAAUUCCUUAUUUUUUUGCCCAAAAUCUCACGCUUUUCGAUCGGGACCCUACUCAUAGACAACCCUAGCUUAGCUUCUAUGUAUAGGUGAGGAUGGAACAUCAUUGGAGCCGGAGUAGGAGACCUUAGCCUCAAAAUUUUGAAAAUUUUUUAUUAUAUCAUUCAAAAUUUUUGAAAAUUUUAAUUAGAUUCUUUAACGCUUUUAGAAAAUUUAAUUAAGUCUUCAAAAGUUUAAAAAAAUUUAAUUAGACCUCUAAUUUUUUUUAUAAAUUUUCAUUAAUCUUUUUAAUCAAAAUUUUAAAAAAUUUUAAUUAAACCCCAAUUAGAGCUCCCAAAAUUUAUUUUCAUGUUUUUCCACAAAGUGUAAGCGUUGAGGAUGAGUUUCAUACUUGGAAUUUAUACAUAACACUCGAGCUACCUAAAGGGCUACACAAUGCAUGUUCAGUGACUAUCUGUCUAAUCAUAUUAGUGCACUGGCCUACGUGAUCUGUUUAGUGAUCAGUUUGUUUGUCCUGUAAUAUUGGUUGCUUAGAGUCUUUGAUAAGGUUAUUGGGCAUUAACAAGCACUUGUUAUGUCAGGUGGCUUGUUUUCUUGACUACAACCAGACAAGCUAUGUUGGGUUAUGGCCAAAGAAAUUUUCUUUUUCCUUGUGAGAAGUAUUUAUACAUUUGGCACAUAUGAAUUCUUGAAUUGUUUGUUCUUUUUACUUGACAGUGAAAAGCUUAAAUUCCUUGUUAAGCACUCAGCUUGUUAUCAAGGUCAAGACAUAAGAGAUUAGGGAUAUUAGAUUAAUGGACUUACAUUUGAUAAUCAAAGCUCUAGAUUUUUCAGGCUGAGAAAUAAUUUCUGAAAAUUGGGUCCAAACUGCUUUGGCAUCUCAUUUUAGAUAUGUUAUGGAGCUCAUGGAUUUUUCACAUGGUGCAGGCUGCAUAAUAUUAUGGAUUUCAUGAGUUAAAUUGUUCAUCUAAUGUUUUUGUAGUGGAAAAGUUGGAGUUUUCAAUUUCAUCAGGACAUGCAGAAGUGAAACCCAGAGAUCUUGGUGAAGAAAUUGAGAGAAAAAGGGAACAGUUCCAAGCUAUCCUUCAACCUUUCUCUAAACAAUGUAAAAGAAACGAGGUAAGUGAAAAAUUCCUUUCGAACUAAGUUAUCUUCUAUGCCCGUUUUACGGAAUAUACGGAUUAAAUCUUUUCGGGAUUUUUGUUGCCUCUAACAAUAUGAUCUCUAGAAUUGAACUUGCGUAGGGGUGUAGUCGAGCUGAAUUGAGCCCAAAUAGUGGUAAGCUCAAGCUUAACUAGAAAUUUGAGGCUUGAUACCCGACUCAAGCUUGACUUGGGCAUCAAUUUCUAUGCUUGAGCUUGGCUUGAGAUAUAAUUAAACAUGUUUAUCAAUUUUCGUACUCAAAACUUGAUUAUGUUUGUUUCUAUAUUAUAAGGAUAAAAAUUUUAAAUUUCAUGAUAUAAAAAUAUAUUAAAAUAAAAAGCUCAAUUAGGCUAGUGAGACGUUCGAAUCAAGAUAGUGCUUGAUUUUGGUUCGGUUGAAAGUUUGAGUUGCUCAAGAUCGAGAUGAUUGGCUUGAUAAUUACCGAAUUAAAUUAAAGUUUUUUUCAAGUCGAACUCAAAUAGUUUGCUAGCAUUAUUAUCUCAUUUACAAUCCUAAACUUGAGUUUUUUCCCUAAAGAGUGUAUUGUAUAUUAUGAUUGCACUCGAGACUUGACGGUAAAUAGGGUUUUACUGGCAUAUUAUCUGAAACUUUGUACUGAUUAGGUUAAGUUGGAGGUCAAACUUGCUGCUGGAAUAUGUCCUGAAGAAAUAACACUCAAAGAAGCAGAAAAUGCUAACACAAGAUGGAUUGUUCUUGACAGGUAUGGCCAACUAUCCUUUUCAUUGCUUCUGUUUUUUGCAUUCUAAUGCAUACAAUUUCUCAAACUGGAAAAAGGGUAUUAAAUUUGAAUAUUGAUUAGUGUUUUUUUUAUAAUCUUGAUUAUUGACAGCCACUUAAAGAAGUACAAAAUGUGUAUAUAUUGGAAUGUUGAAUGCAAUGUUGCAGUAAUGAAAGGAAAAGAUGUUGCUACUUUAAUGCCAUCAAGGGCUCCCAAGCCUGAUUGCUCUCCUGUAAGUAGUGAACAAGCCGAUGCUGAAACUUGGCCCGAUGGUCGAUCCCUUAAUGAUCAAGAAACCGGAAAUCAGAACGUGAUUGAGGAAGGGGAAUCAUCGAUACAACCAGCUCCACGGGGUCCCUCUUGGGGUCCAUUACAAUUUAGACCUGGUUUUCCUCGAGAAUUUUUGUUCAGUGAAAUCGAAGAGAUUACGAACGGCUUCUCUGAUAUCCUUUGUCAAGAGGAAAACCUUAAAGUUUACGAAGGGGUAUUGAAGAAUACACCUGUUAUAGUCAAAUCUAUUCAAGACGAUGAACAGUUUUGGUCGAUGCUUACGAUCCUCUCCCGUGUACGCCACCGCAAUAUCAUGAACAUCAUUGGAUAUUGCUGUACCGCCACGAACAGAUUACUCAUAUCCGAUUAUCCAUGUUUGUAUAGUUUUGCUAUGAAGUUGCAAUGUAAGAUACCUUCUUCCUUUGUUCCCCCGUUUCAGUUUCCACAGCUUUAGAGCAAAACAUUCUUAAUAUUCUGCAGGUGAUGUCUCUGCUAUUAACCUUUCUUGGAGAGCAAGGUGGUAUACUGCUACUGAAAUAGGCGGUAGCUUGCGCUAUCUCCAUGAAGAAUGCCCCGACGGACCGAUCGUUCAUCAAUCUGUUUGUUCAUCUAGCAUUGUUUAUUCUCAUGGCUGCUCACCUAUGGUAAGUAAAUCUAAAACUAUAUCUUUUGCAUUAGAAAUUUGCAUACAGAUUACUGACUGAUGUUUAUGGAUUUGUAUUACCAUAUUGAAGCUAAGCAAUUUUAUGACAGCCAAGUGGUACAAAGGUGAUGUUCCUUUUAACGGGAAUUCAACUGGAAAGUAAGAAAAAAUUUUCUCCAUAAGAGUUGAAUUGUUACACGUCUUUGCCUAUAACUUUUAAGGUGAGAUCUUAUAAGGUCUUUUUUAAAUCAACGGUAAUAGUUAAAAGAUAAAAAUAAGAGUUAUAACUGUUUGAUCAAGCCAUGUUAGAAACUAAGAAAUUAUACGGAAGACCUGAAACUUAUCAAAUCCGUUACCAGUAUGUUGCUUUUCUCUAGAAAUUAGUUUCUCUCACUCUUUAGUAUUAAAACCAAUUAAAUUAGUUAAAAUGCGAAUUUUACAGGACAUGAUCAACAAUGUAUUGAUGUUUCUUUUUCUUCCUUUUUAUUUUAACCGUUGAUUUAAAAAAAUCUCACAAGAUCCCACUAUAAUGUAAUCUUUAAAUAAAUAUCACCCAUGUCAAAAUAUUUGUGAUAAUUUUGAACCUGUUUUUGGUGGAUGAAGAUGCCCAAACCUAGAGGAAGACAAGCAACUUUAUGUGGAUAUACAUGACUAUGGAUUGUUUCUUGUGGAGCUUAUUUCUGGAAAAGUUGCAGGUUGCUUUCCACAUGAAAAUGAGGGUCAGUCCUUGAUAGACUGGGUAAGAUUUUUGUUCAAAUUGCUUCCUAUGGUGACGAUUUUCAAUUGUAAUAAGGAGGUUUCAGUAAAAGUAUCAUGAAUGCCUCUGUACUAAAAAUCAGAUUGUAUUUUGUUCCAUCUACUAAAAAAUUAAUAAAUUAAUCCUAAUACGUUAAAUCAAAAAACAAACUGAUCCUUUUGUUAAAAAUUCCAUUCAUUUCUAUUAUUAAAAAUCAAUCCCUAUACAUCAACAUCAGAUACACAAAACACGUCUUGUAUCAUUGUUUGUUUAUUCUAUCAACCACACUAGUUUUUAACAAUAUAACUGGAUGAAAUUUUUAAUGAAAAAGAUCAACUUUCUCUUUAAUCUAAAAUAGAUAGACUAAUUUGUCUAUUCUUUGAGUAGAGUAGACAAAAUACAAUCUACCUUCCAAUAUAGGAGCUUCCAUAAAACUUUUAUAGGAGUUUCUUGAUGAAAAUGAUUAUGAAUUAUCACAUAUGUUCUAAGAUAUUUUUAGGCAGCUAGAAAUAUCGAACAAAUAUAAGCUAUGUUACCCGGAUUUAGAUGAAUGUUAGAUACUAACAUUUGUCUAUCACGAGGUUAUACCAACGUCUGACUAUGUAUUCGGAUGACAUUAAUUCUCUUUAUACUUAAAUGAAGGCACUGCCGCUUCUAGAAAGCAGUUCAGUCACUCAACUGAUGGAUCCAAGAUUGGCGGACAAAGAAGAUGAUUUGAAGGUGGUUCAUUGUAUGGCUCGGGCAGCUUUGCUUUGUCUGAAAAAUGAUUCCGGUCGCAGUAUUUCCAUAAGCGAGGUAAGGUUUUCUUUUCA